GAGACUGUAACUGACGCUAAAGCUCGAAAGUGCGGGUAUCGAACAGGAUUAGAUACCCUGGUAGUCCGCACGGUAAACGAUGGAUGCCCGCUGUUUGCGAUAUACAGUAAGCGGCCAAGCGAAAGCGUUAAGCAUCCCACCUGGGGAGUACGCCGGCAACGGUGAAACUCAAAGGAAUUGACGGGGGCCCGCACAAGCGGAGGAACAUGUGGUUUAAUUCGAUGAUACGCGAGGAACCUUACCCGGGCUUGAACUGCAGAGGAAGGAUCUAGAGAUAGUGACGCCCUUCGGGGCCUCUGUGGAGGUGCUGCAUGGUUGUCGUCAGCUCGUGCCGUGAGGUGUCGGCUUAAGUGCCAUAACGAGCGCAACCCCUGCCGUCAGUUGCCAUCAGGUUAUGCUGGGCACUCUGGCGGGACUGCCACCGUAAGGUGUGAGGAAGGUGGGGAUGACGUCAAAUCAGCACGGCCCUUACGUCCGGGGCUACACACGUGUUACAAUGGGUGAUACAGAGAGCAGGUGCAUGGCAAUGUGCAUCGAAUCAUGAAAGUCAUCCUCAGUUCGGAUUGGGGUCUGCAACCCGACCCCAUGAAGCUGGAUUCGC
rnacentral:rRNA from 1 species